CAGGUGAUCCACCCACCUCGGCCUCCCAGAGUGCUGGGAUUACAGGCGUGAGCCACCAUGCCUGGCCUAUAGACUUCUUGUAUGUGCUAGAUAAUUUUCACAAGAAAAGAUUUCCAACCAUUUAAAAUUUUAAAUGAGAUUUACCUUUCAUCCAAAAUUUCCUGGGUUUGGUGAUUUCAUUAAAGAUCUACGGAGAUGGUAAGAAAAGAAAGGUUUUGAAUCUAAAAAAUGGAAAUAAUUUAAUUCCUCAAAUUCAAAUUUAAUGACUCGCUUUCUCUUUAUUUCCAAGCCACCAUCUUGCUUGAUCACACAAUCACUUUCCUUUGGAGACUGGAAAUAUGCAAGCCUCCCCAAAUUACAGUUUAUAAUGGAAAGCUCCCCUGACCCUUAAUAAUUGUUACUUUGCUGAAACACUGUAAUACCUAAACUAAGUUGCUUAUUACACCAAACAUGAAGUCCUUUGACCCUUAGAGUUCAAUAUUGAUUAGCCCCACUUUUGUCAAUAUCACCUCUAAUGUCAACAGUUCAAUGUGAAAUAAAUUCAGUAAAGGAUAGUCUUCUUAAUCCACACACAUUAAAAAUGUUUAAUUCCUAUUCAUUACAAAUUUCACCCAGUUCAAGAAUUGUUUCUUCCAUAUUCUUAGUUAAUAAUUGGAGACUGGGCAACAUUGUGAGUAUGUGGUUAAAUGUCAUUACAAUAAGAGGUUAGCUGUAAGUUAACCUAUACCAAGGACCGGAUUCAUGAAAAGUCAUCUCUGAUAAAAUUACUCCAAAGGAAACUUGAAGCAAAUGUAUUACAAAUUCAUCAAACGUGGCUGAGAUAUUUUUUAAUCCUGAGAUCAUGGAGGGAAAUGCUUUUAAAAAGAAUAUUCAAGUGCUUGCUUUGCCCUUGGAUAAUGCAAUAGAAGCUUGUGGUAUUUUUCAGAUUGUCAAAUGUGUAUCAAAGAGUUAUUCUCUUGGCAAAUUCCAUGAAUUUCAGUUCCAUUUCUUGACAAUUUAAAAUUUGAUUAUCCAAUUAUAACUAAAGAUCAUUAGUCUAAUGUGGCAACUUCAUGACAGUUUUAGUUACAAGAGAAGUUCUCAGUUUAGAGAGGAAACUGCCAUAUGAGAAAUUUUUAUUGAACUUGUAAGUUGAACAGUAUUGUGGAAAGAAUUUUGUUUUCUUCUUGUGGUUUUAUUAUUUAUUAAUAAAAAAUAUAUACUUUUUCCCCUGCCCCAUGUUUAUAAGGUGCCAUAUCAUAUGCCUCACCUCUCUGAUUGACAUCAUCAAAUUAACAGCAAGUGCCCUCUGAUAUUGCUGAUUUUUGUCAUCAUUAGAUUUUGUCUUAAAUGUUUAUUUAGAGUUCCAUUUCUUUGUUUUAUUUUUAAUAACCAUAACCUGAAUAUCAUUUUCAGAACUAGAGAAAGGCAUUUUCAUUUCAAUCAUAUUAUAAGUAGAAUUUCUGCUAAAAUGAAAAACCAGAAAAAUUGAGGACAUGGCAAAUAUUUUAACAUUAGUUUUAUUUGAUGUGAUAAUGGAAAAUUCCUCAAGCAAAACAUACCACAGGACCAGACAAAAUGGGUGCUGAGUGUCAGAAAGAUAGGAGAAUCUUUAUCCACAUCUCACCCCCAAAGAAAUCAACUUUGCAGUGGUAGAUGAGUUUGUGGAACAGCUGUUGAUUGUGUACCUGCUCUGUUCAAGAUCAACAGUGAAAACUUAUUGUUUUUCGAUUUUGGAAUCUUAAGAGUUGCAGACACUGCUGGAAGCACAGAUGGACAAGAUGGCAUCUGCGCUGCUUCUGGUAUCUGUGACCCAUUUACCCAGAGGAGAAAUUAUCCAUGCAGCAUGCUGGUUUAACAUUUCGAUCAACAAACAACAACUCCACCACCCAGCUUGAGGAGUGAGAUCUUCACUCUAACUGUUCUCAGCACAGUCUCCUGGUGCAAAGCUGGACUAAGAAUUUUAACAUUACACUUUGCACCUCUUUUAUUCAAUGGUAAGACCCAAAAUAAACCUUUCUGCCUAGGUAUGAACAUCUCUUUUGCUUCAAAGGUUCGAAAGUAUUCUCUGUCAACACAAACUCCCUGACCUCCAUGCUUAGAGCUGCGUAAAAGUUAACUUCUUCUGAGCCACUUGUUGAAACUUGUAAAUGAACUGACUUUUCUGCAGUUGUGACUUAUCAAUUACAUCAGCAUUAUCAUUUCUUGCCCACUGGCAGAGGAGUUAUAGUUGUAGAUGGGAGUCUUAUCGGGCAUUCGGUAUGACUUCCUUGUCAACUCACUUCAUUCCAUGUGGAAAGAGACAGGUGUACACUAGAGCUUUCAAAAUCUAUUUAGAGACCCAGCAUCUAGCAGAAAAUAAUUUUUUUCUAUACAGCACUUUGUUGUUUUUACCCACUAUUGUGCUAUGCAUGCAUUGUAGCGCAUUACCUUACUUAAUCUUCUUGGUAAUUCUCUAAGGUACAAGGAGAUUAAAACUGACUUGGGCAAGGACAUUACAAACUGGAGAGCCAGGACUUGAACCUCGGUAAUCUGACACCAAAGUUCUUAUUCCUAACCACUUCAUUUAUACUGAUACUCUAAGAAUUUCCUUUCUAUAACUAAAAUUAUGUAUUAAAUUUUUUACAUUUAUUAGAAGAAUAAAUUCUAAAAAUAUAAAAACUAACUCUUGGCCAAUAUGGAAGCAUUUUAUUAGUGUACUGAAGAUAGAAUUUGAGAUCAGAGGCGGGGUACAUUUACUUCUAAUUUACGAGUUGGUACAUGGGAGCAGAAAAUGUGGUAAUAAGAGUUUUUCUGCCUUUUUAGACAUUCAGCCCAUUUUUUCACCAGAUUAUUGGUGAGAUGCAUGUUCUGUAGUGUUACAGCUUACCCACCAUAGUCAAAAUGUUCUGUAGAGCUAUUUAAGUAGAUGUGAUGAGGGUUUGUUUUAAGUAAAGGGUGAAUGUGACUUUCAUUAUUCUCUGUGAUAUAUAAACAUGAAUUAAUAAAGGUUUCUCUUGAAACUUGUUCAAGAAUUGGCAUGCAUUUCCAAUUAAUCUCAUAACUUAUAUUUAACUGUUUGGCUGUGCUCCAUAAUUGAUGGAUGUUAUUUUAAUUCAGAUACAGAGAGGGAGAGAAUGCCCAGACUAGACAACAGGGUAUAUGUCAACUUUUAGACACAUUUUACUCUCCCAAUUAAUCUAUGUUUUGGGCCCAUCACACUUUGGCUCACAAGACCUCUGUAAAUGACCAUUAUUGUCAGUUCUUAACAAAUUGCUAAAAUGACUUUUCCUAAAAGAUCCAUCAUAUUGGUGACAAACCUUGCACAGGGUAGGACAUCCAGGUUACUGAUUAGCUUUCAAGAAUGGACUCAAUGGAAAAUCAGUUAAAUCUUCAGAAAAGAUGGACUUAAAGGAGCAUUUGGCUGAUGGAACCCAGUAGGCUGGGAGAGACAGCACUUGAAGUCUGGGUAAAGGUAUGAAGAUGAAAGUGAGAAAAACAGAUAAAAUCAGAAAGUAAAGAACUAUUGAGAGAAUAAAACAUAUAUAUACUUUUCUUCUUCAUUGUCUAUAAGGUAAAGUCCAGGUCCCUUCACACAGCAUUCGAGGCCCUUCACAAAUUGAUGCCGACCAUUUCUCAACCUUAUCCCCUAGCACUGUCCCCUCUGUUUCAUGUCCUGCUGGCACAGUGUGUGCUCUUCCCAGGAACACGGCACACUCAUGUAAUAGUGCCGCUGAACUUGCUUUCUCCUCUGCCUUCACUUGAUUGACUUAGAAAAGUCUUCAUUUCUGAACCUUAAAUGUUACUUUCUUUUUAUGAAAACUUUGCAAACUCCUUCUUCCCCACCUCCACUCAUCACACCCAACAAGAAGUAAUUGCCUUUCCCCCACUCCCCAAGCUUCUUUCAGCAUCUUCCUUAUCAUGUUGACAUUUGCUAGGGGUCAAAAUGCAUACUUUACUCUUCUUGGUACUACCAAGCACCUAGCAUUCAAUCUGUUUUUACUCAACUACGUUCCUUUUUAACAUCCAGGUCACUUUCCACUCCCUAGCUCCUUCAUGAUAUGUCUUCCUCCCUCACUCUUAUUUUUAGAAUAAUAACAUUAUUCCAGUGCAACACAAUCACAUAAUAAUAAAGAUAACUAACAUUUGUAUAAUAAUACUUUAUAAAUUACCAAUAUUUUCAAAUCUGUAUUAGUUUUCUAGGGCUGCCACGACAAAAUACCACAAAUGGGGUGCCUUAAACAAUAGAAAUUUAUUUUCCCACAGUUCUGGAGGGUGGACGUCCAAGAUCAAGGUGCUGGCAGGUUUGGUUUCUUCUGAGGCCUCUCUCCUUGGCUUGUAGAUGGUUUCCUCUCAUUGUGUCCUCACAUGGUCACUCCUCAGUGUGUGGACUGUGUCCUGAUCUCCUCUUCUUAUAAGGAUAUCAAUCAUAUUGUAUUAAGGUCUACUCAUAUGACCUUAUUUUAUCUUAGUUACCUCUUUAAAGGUGCUAUCUCCAAGUACAGUCACAUUCUGAGGUACUGAGAGUCAGGACUUCAGCAUGUGCAUUUGGGACAGGGGUUGUGGGGAAAAGACACAAUUCAGCCCGUGAGUAUCCAUUAUCUCAUUUAUCCUCAUAAGCAAUAACUGCAGCCACUCUGUGCCCGUGCACUAUUUUCAUGGUGAACUUCUUCAAAAGACGGCUCUUCUGCACCUAACUUUACUUCUUCAGGCCUUCAUGAUCUAGACCUCAAGUCUAUUUAUUUUGGAAAGGGGCUUUGUUCCUUAAUGAGUGAAUACAACAGUGCAUCAAAAUUCUAGAGUUUCUUACAGAGUUUAAAUUGUCAAGAGCUGAGCCUCAUUGUCAGUAGAAGAAGAAGAAGAAAGUGCUCCUUCCCUAGCACUGAGAAAACAGGAAAACUAAAUUCGUAAGCAAAACUUGUUUUUUGCAGUCAUUCAAAGCCUAAGUAAGGCAUUUAAAGGUGCAUAUGUUGGGCAUUUCAACUGGAAAAAUGCUAGCCUAGUUAAGAAUGGAAACGGGUACCUACUGCCUUGUACGUCUGCCUAUUUUCUGACCCCAGGGCCCGCAAAGCACCCAUUGAUGUGAAUGGCUCCUUUCAUAUGAAAAAAACAGUGAGGCUGGUCUCGAACUCCCAACCUCAGAUGAACUGCCUGCCUUGGCCUCCCAAAGUGCUAGGAUUACAGGCAUGAGCAACCGCGCCUGGCCUUUCAAAAGGAUCUUAAUCCCAGGCCAAUGUGGGGAGCACUGUAUAUACUACAGUAUGACUGAGAGUUGUUUUAGAGCCCUGCAAAGUUCCCUUGUUAGCAUUUUAGUCAGGGGUAUGAAGACACUGUGCACUGCAAGACUCAACCCAUUUCUGAUCCCUUUCUCAUGAAUCACUCUGAUACUAUACCCAGAAAAAGCCAUCACAUGCCAUCUAAUGCAUUUCAGGACUGCAUCUGAGCUGCAAGCGGAAGACACAGUAGAUGUGACAUUGACUGUGAACUGCACAUGAAGCAAGUGCAACCUCAGGCCUGCCUUGCUUCAGAAGUUAAAAAUAUUUCGGAGGCAAUAAGGAGCGCACAAACCAUAGUUCCGGUUCUUCCUUUCCACUGGAGAUCCACGCAACCCGGGCAGAGGAAGAGAUUGUUUCUCCCAAGCCUUGGAGCUCAUUCGAGGAGAGACUUGGAGACUUUGUGAGGGAAAGACACAGGGAAACGCUGCCGGCAUUUUCCCAAACCUGGACUGGGAGCAGGACAACACUGGGGGAUCUUCCCUAUCUGGUUCAACCCAUCUUGUGCCCCCAAUCCCCCUACCCCUACAUUUUCUAUUUGAUGUUUUGGGGGAAUUUUUUUAUUUUUGCCGCUUUCCUUAGUUUCUGUCUCCAUUACAACAUCCUAACACUCUAAUUGGCUUUGUAUGGGACAAACAGGAAGUAUUGCUUCUGGCAGGAUGGGAUUUUCUGUCCUGUUGAUUGAUGGAUUAAUUUUUAUUGAGCACGGUGUGCUACCAGCGGAACCAAAAAUCCAAGAUACAAUUCCAGCUCUAGGAGUCUAUGUUCUAAUAAAAGUAAGAACAACAUAUUCAAACAUCCCUGUUUCUUUUUCUCGUCAGUUUCCCUUCUACUGAGACAACUACACAGAUAAUUUAGGACCCCAAAACAUGCUAUUAAAAAAGGACCUGACUGGACCAGACAGCUGGGUGGGGGCAGUGGUUUCAUCUGAAGAGCUUCAGUCAUCAUAUUGGCUGAGUGGCUGCUCGGUGCUGGACUUUAAAAGAGUUAAACAUUUUUCCAGAUUUUUUUGGUUACAUUCUUAUGUCAAGUUAGAUUAAACAAAGUUACAGUCUUGAACUAUGCAGUAGUUUAAACCCAUACAGAAAUCUCUUCACUAAAAUACAACACAAUACUAUAUGGCUCAAUUUCAUGAAGGGCUAACGAUUUUAUAUAGUCAUAUUAAGAAUGUUUCAUUGUCUCUUCAUGUCUGUGAUAUAAGGAUCCAGAUCAUUUUUUUCAUAAAUUAGCAUCCCCCCAAAGAAGUCUCCUUUCCCUAACUAUUCUCUCUUAAUCAAGCACCGAAAGCCAGGAAACCCAGGUAAUAGAUAUUUUCCUAUUUCCUCAGAGCAAAUUUUCGUGCUCAAAUGAAAAAACUGUUUCAUCUUUGGAUCAGUUACAAUAUUUCUGAACCACUAUUUCCUCAUCUAUAAGAUAAAGAAUAUUGGAGAUGAUCAUUUUGUUUCCUUCCAGCUCUGAACCACCCCAACAGACACAAACUUUCUUGUGUGAUUUCUGAUUUCAUUUGCAACCUUACUCAAUUCCAGUAGAAGCUGCAUAGGAGCAGGGUCUAUGUCCAUCUUGUUCAGGUAUAGGCCUAGCUCCUAGCACAUGAAAGUAGGGCAGUUAAUAUAAUUUGAAUGAAUAAAUUAUGUUCCAAGCGAUGUGUGUUUUUGAUGUGUAUUUUUGCUGUAGCAUGCCUCAAAUCUUUCUAUGGAAGAAAGCAGGGUCCAUAUUAUAAAUUCCUACCUCUUUUGGAAUAUAUUCUUACACCAUAUUUGAAAUUCUUUCAUUUGCUCUGCCUGUGUGGCUAUGGCUAAAAUUCUGUCAUCCCUUUCUCCUCCUUUUUCUCUUGGUGAACCCAUUAUCUUGCAUACUGUUUCAUAAAAGGCCCCAACACAUAGAACACAAGACUUCCACUCAGGAAGCGGGAGCUUGGGCUGCUGAGGAAGAAGGAAGCAAGGUCCUGGCGUCCACUGAGGCCAGGUCGGGCAGAGUAGGUCUCUGCUGGCCACCAACCUACCAGCAGACAGUCGAUCUAACAACACAUGGAAGGAACAACACUCCUUGCUCUCUAGGCUAAAAAUGUGAACCCGUUCCCCCAAAUAAGGGGUCUAAUUCUAAAGAACUGGGAAAAAGGAACCCACUACUGCUCCAAAGGCUACCUAGACCCGGGGUUGUUGGCCACUGAGAGUCUCCAGCUGAGGGAAGGGUCAAAAUACUUCCAACAUGGUUAAAUGUGCUGAUUUUAUUCUUAGCUAAAAAAAAUCACAGAUUUAGGCCGGGCGCGGUGCCUCACGCCUCUAAUCCCAACACUUUGGGAGGCCAAGGCGGGUGGAUCACGAGGUCAAAAGAUCGAGACCAUCCUGGCCAAUAUGGUGAAACCUCGUCUCUACUAAAAACACAAAACUUAGUUGGGCUUGGUGGCGCGCACCUGUAGUCCCAGCUACUCGGGAGGCUGAGGCAGGAGAAUCGCUUGAACCCGGGAGGCAGAGGUUGCAAUGAGCUGAGAUUUCGCCACUGCACUCCAGCCUGGCAACAGAGCGAGACUCCGGAAA
rnacentral:lncRNA from 1 species